AUGAUCUUUCACAAGAUCACGAAGUCAGAGGCAAAUAUGAUUAGGCACACCAUUACCUUCUUCCUGUUGCUCCUUCUGCUGAGCGCAUCACCCACAGAUGCCUCACAGGAGGAUCAGCUCAUGAGGUUCAUCGAGUCCACGGCCAAGAAGAGGCAAGCUGACAGGGCCAGUAAUCCAGACGUAACCGAGGGACCCGACCCAUGGGCCGACGCCAGCAGCUUCAGCCACCUGCCCACGCGUUGCCCGAUCCCAUUGGCGGGCGCCAAGGCGGCCGACAAGAUCACCGCGCUGCCCGGCCAGCCUCCGCGAGUCAACUUCGACCAGUACGCCGGCUAUGUCACGGUGAACGAGGAGUACGGCCGCGAGCUCUUCUACUACUUUGUCGAGGCCCCCUACGAGGCGGCCUCCAAGCCGCUCAUCCUCUGGCUUAACGGUGGGCCUGGGUGCUCAUCGCUGGGGUAUGGCGCCAUGAUGGAGCUCGGCCCGUUCCGAGUGAACCCCGACGGCAAGACUCUGAGGAGGAACAAGCACGCCUGGAACAACCUGGCAAACGUGAUCUUCCUGGAGUCGCCAACCGGAGUGGGGUUCUCCUACGCGAGCAACAACUCGGAUAAUAUCAACAAGCGGGGCGACCAGAGAACCGCCGAGGACACAUUCGUCUUCCUGCUCAACUGGUUGGAGAGGUUCCCCGAGUACAAGGGCCGCGACUUCUACAUCGCCGGCGAGAGCUACGGUGGCCACUACGUGCCGCAGCUCGCCACCGUAAUCACCUUCAUGAGCGAGCUCCACCGCACCACUUUCAUAAACCUCCACGGCAUCUUCGUCGGCAAUCCGAUCCUUGACAAUUACAAGAAUAGCGAGGGGAAUCUGGAGUUUCUAUGGAGCCACGGGCUGAUCUCCGACGAGAUCUGGGCCGGGAUCCGUGCUAACUGCACCUUCACCCCAAAAGACGACUGGCGGUGGUGCUCCGUGUUGGGGCAGGCGUCCCACAUAAGCGGCAUCUAUCCCCGAAACAUAUACGACCCGAGGAUCUGCCUUCCGUUGGCACGCGAAGGCUAUAUGGCUGGCUACGAUCCGUGCAUGGAGUACUACGUCGAGGCAUACCUCAACACCGGCGAGGUGCAAGAAGCUCUGCACGCCCGAACCAACACAAAUUGGUUAGCUUGCCCAAGAACAAGCGUCCCCUUCCACUAUACCCCUGGCCCAGUUUCCGUGGUGCCAACGAUCAGGAGGCUAGUCGAACGUGGGUUAAGCAUAUGGGUCUAUAGUGGCGACUUGGAUUCCACAUGCUCGAUUACCUCGACGAGGUACUCGGUCAAGGAUCUCAACUUGCCCGUCACCACACCAUGGCGCGCUUGGUACACCCCGGACUUCGAGGUUGGAGGAUAUGUUCAGCAGUAUGAGGGAGGCUUCACGUUUGCAUCGGUGAGGGGUGCAGGCCAUCUGGUUCCUAGCUAUCAGCCAGAGAGAGCCCUUGUUCUUCUCUACUCUUUCCUCAAGGGCAGGCUCCCACCUGGGUGA
rnacentral:rRNA from 1 species